rnacentral:rRNA from 1 species
GGAGGCAGCAGUGGGGAAUAUUGCACAAUGGGCGCAAGCCUGAUGCAGCAACGCCGCGUGAGGGAUGAAGGCCUUCGGGUUGUAAACCUCUUUUAGCAGGGAAGAAGCGAAAGUGACGGUACCUGCAGAAAAAGCACCGGCUAACUACGUGCCAGCAGCCGCGGUAAUACGUAGGGUGCAAGCGUUGUCCGGAAUUAUUGGGCGUAAAGAGCUCGUAGGCGGUUUGUCACGUCUGCUGUGAAAAUCCAAGGCUCAACCUUGGACUUGCAGUGGGUACGGGCAGGCUAGAGUGCGGUAGGGGAGAUGGGAAUUCCUGGUGUAGCGGUGGAAUGCGCAGAUAUCAGGAGGAACACCAAUGGCGAAGGCACAUCUCUGGGCCGUAACUGACGCUGAGGAGCGAAAGCGUGGGGAGCGAACAGGAUUAGAUACCCUGGUAGUCCACGCCGUAAACGGUGGGUGCUAGCUGUGGGCCACAUUCCACGUGGUCCGUGACGAAGUUAACACAUUAAGCACCCCGCCUGGGGAGUACGGCCGCAAGGCUAAAACUCAAAGGAAUUGACGGGGGCCCGCACAAGCGGCGGAGCAUGCGGAUUAAUUCGAUGCAACGCGAAGAACCUUACCAAGGCUUGACAUAUAGAGGAAAAGUGCAGAAAUGCACUCCCCGCAAGGUCUCUAUACA